UACGGGCAUAUCACACUAAAACACCAGUCCUCGUCCAAUCACCGAAGUUAAUCAACGUUGAAUCUGGUCAGUACUCAGAUGGGUGAUCGCUAGGGAAUACAAGGUGCUGUAA